rnacentral:rRNA from 1 species
GAUGAACGCUGGCGGCGUGCCUAAUACAUGCAAGUCGAGCGAACGGACGAGAAGCUUUCUUCUCUGAUGUUAGCGGCGGACGGGUGAGUAACACGUGGAUAACCUACCUAUAAGACUGGGAUAACUUCGUGAAACCGUAGCUAAUACCGGAUAAUAUUUUGAACCGCAUGGUUCAAAAGUUAAAGACGGUCUUGCUGUCACUUUUCGAUGGAUCCGCGCUGCAUUAGCUAGUUGGUAAGGUAACGGCUUACCAAGGCAACGAUGCAUAGCCGACCUGAGAGGGUGAUCGGCCACACUGGAACUGUGACACGGUCCAGACUCCUACGGGAGGCAGCAGUAGGGAAUCUUCCGCAAUGGGCGAAAGCCUGACGGAGCAACGCCGCGUGAGUGAUGAAGGUCUUCGGAUCGUAAAACUCUGUUAUUAGGGAAGAACAGAUGUGUAAGUAACUGUGCACAUCUUGACGGUACCUAAUCAGAAAGCCACGGCUAACUACGUG